rnacentral:rRNA from 1 species
CUCCGUAGGUGAACCUGCGGAGGGAUCAUUACACAAAUAUGAAGGCGGGCUGGAACCUCUCGGGGUUACAGCCSUUGCUGAAUUAUUCACCCUUGUCUUUUGCGUACUUCUUGUUUCCUUGGUGGGUUCGCCCACCACUAGGACAAACAUAAACCUUUUGUAAUUGCAAUCAGCGUCAGUAACAAAUUAAUAAUUACAACUUUCAACAACGGAUCUCUUGGUUCUGGCAUCGAUGAAGAACGCAGCGAAAUGCGAUAAGUAGUGUGAAUUGCAGAAUUCAGUGAAUCAUCGAAUCUUUGAACGCACAUUGCGCCCUUUGGUAUUCCAAAGGGCAUGCCUGUUCGAGCGUCAUUUGUACCCUCAAGCUUUGCUUGGUGUUGGGCGUCUUGUCUCUAGCUUUGCUGGAGACUCGCCUUAAAGUAAUUGGCAGCCGGCCUACUGGUUUCGGAGCGCAGCACAAGUCGCACUCUCUAUCAGCAAAGGUCUAGCAUCCAUUAAGCCUUUUUUUCAACUUUUGACCUCGGAUCAGGUAGGGAUACCCGCUGAACUUAAGCAUAUCAAUAAGCGGAGGAAAAGAAACCAACAGGGAUUGCCCUAGUAACGGCGAGUGAAGCGGCAACAGCUCAAAUUUGAAAUCUGGCUCUUUUAGAGUCCGAGUUGUAAUUUGCAGAGGGCGCUUUGGCUUUGGCAGCGGUCCAAGUUCCUUGGAACAGGACGUCAUAGAGGGUGAGAAUCC